rnacentral:rRNA from 1 species
UACAGAGGUCCCAAGCGUUGUCCGGAAUUAUUGGGCGUAAAGAGCGCGUAGGCGGUCCGGUAAGUCGGUUGUGAAAGUCGGGGGCUCAACCCUCGGAUGCCGAUCGAUACUGUCGGGCUAGAGUCCGGAAGAGGCGAGUGGAAUUCCUGGUGUAGCGGUGAAAUGCGCAGAUAUCAGGAGGAACACCCGUGGCGAAGGCGGCUCUCUGGGACGGUACUGACGCUGAGACGCGAAAGCGUGGGGAGCGAACAGG